rnacentral:rRNA from 1 species
CCUACGGGUGGCAGCAGUGGGGAAUAUUGGGCAAUGGGCGAAAGCCUGACCCAGCAACGCCGCGUGAAGGAAGAAGGCUCUCGGGUUGUAAACUUCUUUUGACACGGAAGUGCAGAAGACGGUACCUGUUGUAUAAUCCAUGGCUAAUUACGUGCCAGCAGCUGCGGCCAUACGUAGGUGGCAGGCGUUGUCCGGAUUUACUGGGUGUAAAGGGCGUGUUGCGGGGCUGACAAGUCAGAUGUGAAAUCCGGGGGCUCAACCCCCGAACUUCGUUUGAAACUGGUGGUCUUGAGUGUCGGAGAGGCAGGCGGAAUUCGUGGUGUAGCGGUGAAAUGCGUAGAUAUUAGGAGGAACGCCAGUGGCGAAGGCGGCCUGCGGGACGGCAACUGACGGUGAGGCGCGAAGGCGUGGGGAGCAAACAGGAUUAGAUACCCUGGUAGUC